rnacentral:rRNA from 1 species
AACGAACGCUGGCGGCAUGCCUAACACAUGCAAGUCGAACGAAGCCUUCGGAGUUAGUGGCGCACGGGUGAGUAACGCGUGGGAAUCUGCCUUUGGGUACGGAAUAACUCAGAGAAACUUGUGCUAAUACCGUAUGAUCUCUUCGGAGGAAAGAUUUAUCGCCUUAGGAGGAGCCCGCGUAAGAUUAGCUAGUUGGUGAGGUAAAUGCUCACCAAGGCGACGAUCAUUAGCUGGUCUGAGAGGAUGAUCAGCCACAUUGGGACUGAGACACGGCCCAAACUCCUACGGGAGGCAGCAGUGGGGAAUAUUGGGCAAUGGGCGAAAGCCUGAUGCAGCAAUGCCGCGUGGAUGAUGAAGGUCUUAGGAUUGUAAAGUGCUUUUACCAGUGAUGAUAAUGACUGUACCUGGAGAAUAAGCUCCGGCUAACUCCGUGCCAGCAGCCGCGGUAACAC